AGACUGCGGAGCCCCGAGCACCACUCGGCCACCAGACAGGACCGGGGCCCCGCUCCUUUCCUCUUUUACUUUGAUUACGGUUGGAGAGGUUGGGUUUUGUGGUCGCAGCCCCACCUCGCCUGACCUCCCAUUCGCGGGCUGGGACAAAGGCGGCUGCAGCCGUGUCCAGCAGGCAGGGGACAGCCCCGCGCGGGCCCGACGCCCCCUCUGACCACCCGCCCGGGCUCGCGGGAGGGGAGAAAGGUACGACCGAGUCCCUGUUCGCAGGACAGGGGCCAACCUGUCCCCGCACGCGUCAGGACACCCGGUCCUGCUCCCAGCGCGGCCGGGAAGUUCUUUCGGGACCUGGGGCAAAAAAACCUUUCCACCUUCGGGACCCGAGUCUCCCAGUCGUCCAGAGGAGGACGGUCCCUCCCUGUCCCGCGAGCCCCGCAGCCCGCGCUCUCCGGGCAGGUACCCACCAGUAGCCGUCCGAGUUCUGGUCGGUGAUCACGCCGCGCCGAGAAUAGUACAUCCUGCUGGUGCCCCCGCCGCCGCUGGUCACCUCGUAGCGCAGAAAACCACGACUUCCUGGAAAAGUCUUCACCGUAAAUAUUAAUCUCUUUGGCAUGAAGAGGAAAACACUGCAGCUAAUUUUUCAUGGGAUAACAAAAAUAUAAACUGCAAUUUCUUUUAUUUUUUCCCUUUCGAUGGUCUUUUUAAACGAGGAGUAAAGAUUUCAACGCCAGGUCCAUUUUCCAAAUUUUGUACCAGAACCUUGAGGAUGCUUGUCUCUCGCGCGCUUCUCCGCAGACCGAACCCUCUCCGGAACUCAGAGCUGUUCACCCAAGUCAGCGGAGGAGGCCUCCUGGGACUUGAGCCUGAGGGUGGCGAAGAACCCUAGGCAGAGAUCAUCAACUUGGUACCGAUGAGUGACGCGGAGCUUGAACAUUCCAGCGACUUGCUCCAGGGCCACUCCCAGUUAAGAGGCUGAGUGUUAACUGCAAGAGGCUGAGUGUUAACUACGCCGUUGGCUCCAGGAACCGAACCGGGUUUGGAUACAGACCCAGUCACACCAUCCAUGAAAAGCUGUUUCUAUAAUAUGAAAAAUUGUUAAAUGACGCUUUAGUAAAAGCCAUUUAAAGAUCUUUUCUAAUAAAUUUUUCAUCUUUCCAAACAAUGCCGCUAAUUACCUUCUGAUACAGUGCGUUUCCAAAAUGUUUAUGAACUGAAAACAAAAAUAAAAAACUACAUUUUUAUGUUGUAAAGGGAGUGGGGGGGACUUUCUAAAAUUUGUCGUAUUAUAGCACUUCUCAUGACAACUUGACCCUUUAGGCAUA
rnacentral:lncRNA from 1 species